UUUUUCUCAAUGGGGGAAACCCUGAAGGAGCGACGCCGCGUGGAGGAUGAAGGUUUUCGGAUUGUAAACUCCUGUCAUUGGGGAACAAGGCAUUGGGUAGUCACUGACCUGAUGUUGAUAGUACCCGAAGAGGAAGGGACGGCUAACUCUGUGCCAGCAGCCGCGGUAAUACAGAGGUCCCAAGCGUUGUUCGGAUUCAUUGGGCGUAAAGGGUGCGUAGGCGGCGAGGUAAGUUGGAUGUGAAAUCCCGGGGCUCAACCCCGGAACUGCAUUCGAUACUGCUUUGCUAGAGUUCUGGAGAGGAGAUUGGAAUUCACGGUGUAGCAGUGAAAUGCGUAGAUAUCGUGAGGAAGACCAGUGGCGAAGGCGAAUCUCUGGACAGAUACUGACGCUGAGGCACGAAGGCCAGGGGAGCAAACGG
rnacentral:rRNA from 1 species